rnacentral:lncRNA from 1 species
GCCUCUCUUGAUUCACACAUGUUCACAUUUCAAGCUAUUUGAUGGUAAAUCUUGAAUUUUAUUUUCUUAUAUUUUUUUAGCGGAUUAAUUAGAACUGAUUUGGUUUCUGAUUUGUUUGGGCGAGUGCAACAGCUUGCGAAGCUUUACCACUAAUCCACAGUCACUAUGUAACAAUUAAAAGGUGACUGAUAGCUCCAAUAGAUGCAUAUUUAAUAUUUAUUUCUGCACAUCAUUUAGACAGGUGGUUCCAUUUGAUACAUUUAGGAAGAGUACGGUCUUUUCCGACUUUAGUUAAUAUCUAUAUUGUUUCUUUGCUAUAAUAGGCAGGUCUGGAAACACAUGCUAAUAUAAGGCUUGAAUUGCACAUGUAUUGUCUUAUUAAUCAUGCACAUUUUGGAGCAUGAUUAUUUUCAAAUGGUUUGUCUAACAAUACUGAGGAGACCUGCAUGUCUGUCAACAUUCUUAAUAUGGAACCAUUAGAUGAUGGAUGACCAUUUUUUGCAAUAUCCGACUGACUAAUUGUACAAUUGAUAAGACAAGGGUUCGACUUACUUCCCUCUGCAAACAUCUUCUUUGCUCAAGUAAUUCAAGGUAUGUUUCAUUGCUCAUUUAGGAUGGCUGCUGAACCUCUUUGUGAACCAAGGAAGAAGUUCUCUAUACAAAAAUAACUUAGUUCUACAUUGAAAUUUUCACAUAUGGAUAAUUCAGUAACAAAAAAAUUUGAUUAAUCGAGUUGGGAGAUGUCACACAACACCAUUUGCUCAUAAUUGUUAUCUAUUUGAUCCUCGUGGCAGUCCUAUAUGUCAUGAAUAAUUGAGUCAUAUGUUGAUGCAUAUAUAGUUUGACUGUGCACUUGCACGUGUGCAACGUUCCAAAAGGAUAAUUCAUAACCUAGCAAUUUUAGAUAUCUAUGAACUUCAGUAUGUGCCAUCACGGUCUCAACAGGAUAUGGUACUCUGUUUUGAUUUUUUAUCAAAACCUAAUUAUCAAUUUAUAUAUGUGCGUACAAUCUUUAACCAUUAUAGCUGACGAUCUUUAACGUGUUUCAUCAUCUGUAGGCUGUGCAAUGUGAGAUAAUCAUGUAUGGUGUUACCGAAUGGGCUGGAAAGUUUCUAAAUUAUGAGCUCUGCAUGAUUAAGUGGCGCCGGGACCUGUACUUCAUUUAAUGCAGAGCAAGAAAGGAACAUCAAAGAAGCUGUUAAAAUGGAUGGGAGAAUUUGCUAAAACAUGUUUACCUAUUUUUUUAAAGAUUAAGUGUAUUCUAGAAAGAAAAUAAUUGUAUGUUUCAUGGAGUAACAAAUCAGGAACUGUGCAGGUAUGUGUUCAUCUUGAUGGGAGUUUGUCCGAGAUGCUGGGCGAGGGGAUUGUUUCCGCACUGCAUGUAUCCAAGUGUUUAGGGAUGCCUUUUGCGAACAAAUUUAGUUUUUUUUUGAGCGAGGAAAUUGAUACUUUUUUUGUGAAUGUAUUCGAGUGGGUGAAAUACUCCCCAUUUGUCUCGAGAGGUCCAGGUGUGGAAGCUUAGCACUGGGUUUGUCAUUAUUGAGGCAAGAAUAGUUUGAAUAUGCACACUUUCAUUAUGUACUUGCAGUGCGUAAUGCAUCAUGUGUAGAAAAAGAUAGUUAUAUUUGUAUAGAGUAAAUUACAAUGUUUGAGGUAUUUGAAUAAAAAAUACUUUGUUGUUUCAUGACAUGCAACAAUGCGAUCUUUUGUGCUCGUUAUUAUAAGUUUGAGUAAA